rnacentral:rRNA from 1 species
AUUGAACGCUGGCGGAAUGCUUUACACAUGCAAGUCGAGCGGCAGCGCGGGGCAACCUGGCGGCGAGCGGCGAACGGGUGAGUAACAUAUCGGAACGUAUCCAUAAGUGGGGGACGAACCUAGCGAAAGUUAGGCUAAUACCGCAUACGCUCGAGAGAGGAAAGUGGGGAGUCGCAAGACCUCACGCUUUAGGAGCGGCCGAUAUCAGAUUAGCUAGAUGGUGAGGUAAGGCUUACCAUGGCGACGAUCUGUAGCUGGUCUGAGAGGAUGAUCAGCCACACUGGGACUGA